UGCUACAAGAUGGCCGACGAAGCGAUCGAGAAAUUUCCUUGACUUAAAAGACAAAGUUUCCAUACGUAUUAAAUCUUUACGGUUCUCGAAAUUGAAGCAUCUUCAUGAGAAUCAAAAUAGAAGUGAGACUGAAGCCGAGCAUGAGCAUAAUUUUGGUGAAACUACUCCUUGUCCAGUGUCCGCUGCAGCACCACGUGGGUACUCCGGUAUCGAUCUGUGCCUGAUGUUGUUUUCUGUAUAGACAUUUUAAAGACCAUGACCUUACAGAUGUUAAUUGGUAUGACGGAAGAAGUAAAAUUUUUGGAGAACAGAUUUUUCGUAUGCUGUGUCCGUGUCAGAUACAUAAGGAAAGUUCAAGCCAGAUCUGCUACAGCAAACUGAACAUAAAGUGGCAUACUUGUGUGUCAGGAAACGAGGAACAUGUAUGGCUGGUCUGAGAAUCUAACCGGGGAUCCCUGCAUCACUACUUACAUAUCCCAUGGAAAUAUAGGAUCCUUGGCUAAUCAUGUGACAUCUGCAGUGUUACAAAAGAAUAUUGGAUUUAUAUCAAUAAGAAAAAGAACUACCAGAAGGAGACGGUAAAGAGGAACGGACAUAUCACACCAUAAGACGUGCUUCAAAAUCUGAAAAUACAGAGUGAAUUUUGCUUACUGCAGAUCCUUGUGAAAGAACACCUUUGUUGUAUUGACAUAAAAACAACGGAAUUGUCAUGAUCCUUGAACAAGACGCAACUGGCUGCAUACGAUGGCAAUUAAAAAUGCAUACAUGUUUACACUGAUCUUUGUUAGCCAAUAAGACAAAAAGCAAAAUAGCAAGU